AGUGAACGCUGGCGGUACGCCUAACACAUGCCAGUCGAACGGCAGCACAGUAAGAGCUUGCUCUUACGGGUGGCGAGUGGCGGACGGGUGAGGAAUACAUCGGAAUCUACUUUUUCGUGGGGGAUAACGUAGGGAAACUUACGCUAAUACCGCAUACGACCUACGGGUGAAAGCAGGGGAUCUUCGGACCUUGCGCGAUUGAAUGAGCCGAUGUCGGAUUAGCUAGUUGGCGGGGUAAAGGCCCACCAAGGCGACGAUCCGUAGCUGGUCUGAGAGGAUGAUCAGCCACACUGGAACUGAGACACGGUCCAGACUCCUACGGGAGGCAGCAGUGGGGAAUAUUGGACAAUGGGCGCAAGCCUGAUCCAGCCAUACCGCGUGGGUGAAGAAGGCCUUCGGGUUGUAAAGCCCUUUUGUUGGGAAAGAAAAGCAGCAGGUUAAUACCCCGCUGUUCUGACGGUACCCAAAGAAUAAGCACCGGCUAACUUCGUG
rnacentral:rRNA from 1 species